UUUGCUUCCUGUUUAUUUAUUUUAGGCCUGUCUAUUAAUGUGGCAUUUUUGUUUGAAUGUGUUUGUACAUUUUCAGAUCAGAUACGUGCUAAUAGUACUUAAGAGGCAUUACUUGGAGUGAUGUGUCACUGUCACAGCAAUAAAUAGCCUUUGAAACUAGCAAAUACCAGUUUUAGCUUUGAACCAAACAGAGUCCUAGGAAACAAAAGCAAAAAAGCAAAAAAAAAAAAGAAAGUAAAAGAGUUUCACAUACCGAAGAAAUGGAAGUAUGGCUUGUAUUGAAGAUCACUUUCUACAGUGUUUUCUAUGGCUUUGGUAUCUGGUGACACACUAAGUCCCUUACAUGAAUAAUUUGCUUUAGAAAUGUAACUUUGAAUUGGAUGUAACAUCCCAUCAGCCAUAUGCUACUAUCUUGGAUGAAGGUUGUGGAUGCAUCCUACUUUAAAAAAGCAGCAGUUCUGUGCCUUUGUUUGAUGAAGAGUCUCUUGAUGAAAAACCCUUUAGAAACCACGAGCUGCCUCAUCCUGCUGGUCAUUUUGGAUGGUCCCCACCGGUCUUUCUCCAUGCUGGUCAAACACUGAGGCAGCGACACGUCCAGCCCUUGACCCAUUCCAUGUCCCAGAUGAGGGAGGCUGUACCUGGAGCAGUCGAUUCAGAACACAGGGAGAAGCAAACCCUCACAGCUGGAGCAAAAGUGGCCAGCCCAUGGACCCAGAAGGGCCAGAAGGUCCAGAGGCAUGUCCUUUGGGGAGGAUGUUGCCCUGUUGCUCCCUGUGCUGAGGACAAGCCGCCCUGCUGCUGCCUGGCUGCUGGAGGUGGUGGAGACACAUCCCAGUGCUGCACCAUGGGGGUCUGCUUCCCCUUUGCUCUCCCGCCACCCUGCAGCUUCACUGAGGGCAAGGCACAUUUUGUGGGGUUAUUUGGAUGGCAAGGGAUGAGUUCCUUUUUUUAUUCAGGGCUGAGCAGAAUAUUUUAAUUGUUUUUGUUGUUGUUGUUAAUUCAUUUCCAUAAAUAAAAAUGGAAAACAACUUA